UAAGACGAAGGUGACAACCGUUGCUCGGAAUCACUGGGCAUAAAGCGCGCGUAGGUGGCUUCGUAAGUCCAUGGUGAAAUCCCUCGGCUCAACCGAGGAACAGCCGUGGAUACUGCGAGGCUUGAGGUCGGGAGGGGUGAGUGGAACUCUGGGUGUAGCGGUGAAAUGCGUAGAUAUCCAGAGGAACGCCGGUGGCGAAAGCGACUCACUGGACCGAAUCUGACACUGAGGCGCGAAAGCUAGGGGAGCAAACAGGAUUAGAUACCCUGGUAGUCCUAGCUGUAAACGAUGGGUACUGGGUAGGGGCCGUCCAAUGCGGUCUCUGCCGAAGCCAAUGUGUUAAGUACCCCGCCUGGGGAGUAUGGUCGCAAGGCUA
rnacentral:rRNA from 1 species